rnacentral:rRNA from 1 species
AGUGAACGCUGGCGGUAGGCCUAACACAUGCAAGUCGAACGGCAGCACAGUAAGAGCUUGCUCUUACGGGUGGCGAGUGGCGGACGGGUGAGGAAUACAUCGGAAUCUACUUUUUCGUGGGGGAUAACGUAGGGAAACUUACGCUAAUACCGCAUACGACCUACGGGUGAAAGCAGUGGAUCUUCGGACCUUGCGCUAUUGAAUGAGCCGAUGUCGGAUUAGCUAGUUGGCGGGUUAAAGGCCCACCAAGGCGACGAUCCGUAUCUGGUCUGACAGGAUGAACAGCCAAACUGGAACUGAGAGACGGUCCAGACUCCUACGGGAGGCAGCAGUGGGGAAUAUUGGACAAUGGGCGCAAGCCUGAUCCAGCCAUACCGCGUGGGAGAAGAAGGCCUUCGGGUUGUAAAGCCCUUUUGUUGGGAAAGAAAAGCAGCAGGUUAAUACCCCGCUGUUCUGACGGUACCCAAAGAAUAAGCACCGGCUAACUUCGUG